rnacentral:rRNA from 1 species
GGUUAAGUUAAUAAGGGCGCACGGUGGAUGCCUUGGCACUAGAAGCCGAUGAAGGACGUGACUAACGACGAAAUGCUUUGGGGAGUUGUAAGUAAACAUUGAUCCAGAGAUGUCCGAAUGGGGGAACCCGGCAUGUAAUGCAUGUCACUCAUUACUGUUAAGGUAAUGAAGAGGAAGACGCAGUGAACUGAAACAUCUAAGUAGCUGCAGGAAGAGAAAGCAAACGCGAUUGCCUUAGUAGCGGCGAGCGAAAUGGCAAGAGGGCAAACCGAUGUGUUUACACAUCGGGGUUGUAGGACUGCGACGUGGGACGACAAGAUUAUAGAAGAAUUACCUGGGAAGGUAAGCCAAAGAGAGUAACAGCCUCGUAUUCGAAAUAGUCUUUAACCCUAGCAGUAUCCUGAGUACGGCGAGACACGAGAAAUCUCGUCGGAAUCUGGGAGGACCAUCUCCUAACCCUAAAUACUCUCUAGUGACCGAUAGUGAACCAGUACCGUGAGGGAAAGGUGAAAAGCACCCCGGGAGGGGAGUGAAAUAGAACCUGAAACCGUGUGCCUACAACAAGUUCGAGCCCGUUAAUGGGUGAGAGCGUGCCUUUUGUAGAAUGAACCGGCGAGUUACGAUAUGAUGCGAGGUUAAGUUGAAGAGACGGAGCCGUAGGGAAACCGAGUCUUAAUAGGGCGCAUUAGUAUCAUGUCGUAGACCCGAAACCAUGUGACCUACCCAUGAGCAGGGUGAAGGUGAGGUAAAACUCACUGGAGGCCCGAACCAGGGCACGUUGAAAAGUGCUUGGAUGACUUGUGGGUAGCGGAGAAAUUCCAAACGAACUUGGAGAUAGCUGGUUCUCUCCGAAAUAGCUUUAGGGCUAGCGUCGAUGUUAAGUCUCUUGGAGGUAGAGCACUGUUUGAUUGAGGGGUCCAUCCCGGAUUACCAAUAUCAGAUAAACUCCGAAUGCCAAUGAGAUAUAAUCGGCAGUCAGACUGCGAGUGCUAAGAUCCGUAGUCGAAAGGGAAACAGCCCAGACCACCAGCUAAGGUCCCAAAAUAUAUGUUAAGUGGAAAAGGAUGUGGGGUUGCACAGACAACUAGGAUGUUAGCUUAGAAGCAGCUAUUCAUUCAAAGAGUGCGUAAUAGCUCACUAGUCGAGUGACCCUGCGCCGAAAAUGUACCGGGGCUAAAACAUAUUACCGAAGCUGUGGAUACCUUUUAGGUAUGGUAGGAGAGCGUUCUAUGUGUGAAGAAGGUGUACCGUGAGGAGCGCUGGAACGCAUAGAAGUGAGAAUGCCGGUAUGAGUAGCGAAAGACAGGUGAGAAUCCUGUCCACCGUAUGACUAAGGUUUCCAGGGGAAGGCUCGUCCUCCCUGGGUUAGUCGGGACCUAAGGAGAGACCGAAAGGUGUAUCCGAUGGACAACAGGUUGAUAUUCCUGUACUAGAGUAUAUAGUGAUGGAGGGACGCAGUAGGCUAACUAAAGCGUGCGAUUGGAAGUGCACGUCUAAGCAGUGAGGUGUGAUAUGAGUCAAAUGCUUAUAUCUCUAACAUUGAGCUGUGAUGGGGAGCGAAGUUAAGUAGCGAAGUUAGUGAUGUCACACUGCCAAGAAAAGCUUCUAGCGUUAAUUAUACUCUACCCGUACCGCAAACCGACACAGGUAGUCGAGGCGAGUAGCCUCAGGUGAGCGAGAGAACUCUCGUUAAGGAACUCGGCAAAAUGGCCCCGUAACUUCGGGAGAAGGGGCGCUGGCUUUAAGUCAGCCGCAGUGAAUAGGCCCAAGCAACUGUUUAUCAAAAACACAGCUCUCUGCUAAAUCGUAAGAUGAUGUAUAGGGGGUGACGCCUGCCCGGUGCUGGAAGGUUAAGAGGAGCGCUUAGCAUUAGCGAAGGUGUGAAUUGAAGCCCCAGUAAACGGCGGCCGUAACUAUAACGGUCCUAAGGUAGCGAAAUUCCUUGUCGGGUAAGUUCCG